GCCUGAUGGCUCGAUAACCAGCGUCCCACAGGUAACCCCAGGUAACAUCUUAAUUAACGAGUAAAACUGUGUGACAUUUCCUAAACCUGUUUACUGCUCACUAAUACGUGCCAGGAAUGGUGGUGAUAUCCUGUCCUUGUUUUACUGGGAUUAAUAUUUGCUCGUCAGGAUUUGGUGAGGUACGGACGCUUGAAGAUUGUCCAUAAAUCAAGUUGGUGUCUGGAUUGAAGCAUAAUUCCGAAUAGAAAGGGUAGAAUGCUGGAGAGCUGAUUGCAGCAGAAGACAAAAAAGAGCAGAUGAUACAGAAAAGCAGACGACACACAACAGCAGACGACACAGCCAGGCAGUGUUUAGAGGUGUGAGGAAGGUGUGUGGAGGUUUGUCUUGGGUGUGUGCUGUUCAACAUCAAGGUGUGCUGGAGGGACCUCCAGGCCCUGAGGACAAAUUAUCUAAUACGGAAGUCAUUUGAGCGGUAUUUAUGUUGGAAUAAAACCAAACAUCACUGCAGGGAUAGAAAGCCCUCAAUUCCACUUGUAGACCAGAAGCAAUAUACAUUCUACGCAGAGAAACCAAAAAGGUGAAUGUGAGAUUUUCCCUGCAGUCCUCACUGACCUACAUGCAUUGUCAGUCGAUUAACACAGUGUGUGGAGUUCUGGGGCACCCGGCUCAUUUUACAAUGUUUCAGAAUCAAAUUGAUCGAUUGGUCAAUACCAUCGCGAAACCGAAACUCGUGAAAUUGGAUUUGUGUGCAGUGUCUCGUUGAGAGGUGUACUGGAGUGCUAAGUAAGACCCCCAGGGCAUUGUGGGUAAUCUAACAAACCUGACUCCAAUAACCUGGAUUUCUGGGUAAUAUAACAACAUAGCAUUCUGGGUAAUCCAAAAACAUAUUUUUUUUGCAUUCUUGUUAAUUCAACAACUCAGCAUUCUGUGUAAUUCAGCGAUUGAGUGCUUUUGUUAACAAUUUUAACCUGAAAAUUGGAUAUAACAGCAACAACAAUAACAACAACAACCCAUUAUUUUGGAUAUACGAACCAGCAAGCAUUCUGAA